rnacentral:ncRNA from 2 species
ACACGUGCUCCGGGGUCGGUGUAAUUCCGAGCCGGCGGUGACAGUCCGCGACCCACGCCUCGGCGUGGUUGACCUGGUGGAACUCCAGGACCGACGGUGAAAGUCCGGAUGGGAGGAAGUACGUGG